GACAGAGGGUGCAAACGUUGUUCGGAAUUAUUGGGCGUAAAGAGCGUGUAGGCGGUUUGGUAGGUCCGCUGUGAAAACUCGAGGCUCAACCUCGAGACGCCGGUGGAAACCAUCAGACUAGAGUCCGGAAGAGGAGAGUGGAAUUCCUGGUGUAGCGGUGAAAUGCGCAGAUAUCAGGAAGAACACCCGUGGCUAAGGCGGCUCUCUAGUACGGUACUGACGCUGAGACGCGAAAGCGUGGGGAGCGAACAGG
rnacentral:rRNA from 1 species